UGGGGAAUCUUGCGCAAUGGGGGAAACCCUGACGCAGCGACGCCGCGUGCGGGAUGAAGGCCUUCGGGUUGUAAACCGCUUUCAGCAGGGACGAGGCCUUAUGGUGACGGUACCUGCAGAAGAAGCUCCGGCUAAAUACGUGCCAGCAGCCGCGGUAAUACGUAUGGAGCAAGCGUUAUCCGGAUUCAUUGGGCGUAAAGCGCUCGUAGGCGGUCUGUUAGGUCGGCAAGUUAAAUCCGGGGGCUCAACCCCCGUCCGCUUCCGAUACCGGCAGACUUGAGUUUGGUAGGGGAAGGUUGAAUUCCUAGUGGAGCGGUGGAAUGCGCAGAUAGUAGGAAGAACACCGGUGGCGAAGGCGGCCUUCUGGGCCAUAACUGACGCUGAGGAGCGAAAGCUAGGGGAGCGAACAGG
rnacentral:rRNA from 1 species